rnacentral:rRNA from 1 species
CCUACGGGGGGCAGCAGUGAGGAAUAUUGGUCAAUGGGCGUAAGCCUGAACCAGCCAAGUCGCGUGAGGGAUGAAGGUUCUAUGGAUCGUAAACCUCUUUUAUAAGGGAAUAAAGUGUGGGACGUGUCCUGUUUUGUAUGUACCUUAUGAAUAAGGAUCGGCUAACUCCGUGCCAGCAGCCGCGGUAAUACGGAGGCUCCGAGCGUUAUCCGGAUUUAUUGGGUUUAAAGGGUUCGUAGGCGGCCUUUUAAGUCAGCGGUGAAAGUCUGUGGCUCAACCAUAGAAUUGCCGUUGAAACUGGGAGGCUUGAGUAUGUGUGAGGCAGGAGGAAUGCGUGGUGUAGCGGUGAAAUGCUUAGAUAUCACGAAGAACCCCGAUUGCGAAGGCAGCCUGCCAAGCCAUGACUGACGCUGAUGCGCGAAAGCGUGGGGAGCAAACAGGAUUAGAUACCCGUGUAGUC